ACUUCUGCUCAGGAUCCCCUUUGCUUCUGCAUUAUACAACCCCCCUCCUUUAUAUAGCUGGUAAUUCUAGACCCAGGCUUCUCGGUCAUCAAUACCCAUAAGAAAAAGAGACCUUUUGCAAACUCAGCAAGAGGCGCUCUCCUGUCUCCUGGCAGCUCAGGCUAAAUUCUAUCGGCCUGAUUUCUAAAUGCAUGUUCUCAGAAUCCUGGGAACAACUAUUGAGGAAAGUCAAGGAAGACAGUGCAAAGGUUAAAGCUGAACGUAAAAAAAAAGUAGGGAAAAAAUGACACAGAUUCCUCAUAACUAUAAAGUAGACAGUGAAGACAUUAAAAUAGUUAAAGAUUUCCUAUACCUUGGCUAAAACUGGUCAGUAAUCAAAACUGAGACAGUAAUAUAGAAAUCAGGGUACAUCUACACUGUAUAAUUAAUGCAGUUUGGCACCACUUUAAUUGCCAUAGAUCUAUGCUAUGGAAUAAUGGGGACUGUAGUUAUCCUUCUCUGUUAGAUAGUGCUGGUGCCCCACCAAACUGCAAUUUUCAGAAUUCCAUAGCAUUGAGCCAUGACUGUUAAAGUGAUUUCAAACUACAUUCAUUCUACAGUGUACAGCCAAAUUAGGACUUGAAAGGACAGCCAUGAAGGAACUAGACAAGAUCCUCAAGCACAAAGAUAUAUCAAUUAAUAUCAAAGUCAGAAGUACCACAAUAUUUCCAUUUUAUAUGUAUGACUGUGAAAGCUGGACAGUAACGAAAGCUGAUAAGAAGGAAAUUAACUCAUUUUAUAGGUGAUACUGGAGCAGAAUUCUGUGGAUUCCAUAGACUUCUAAAAAGACAAAUAAAUGGGUCCUCGAGCAAAUCAAACCAGAACUCUACCUGGAUGACUAAAUGGAGAGAUUGGAUGCAGGUUGCCAUGGAGACUGCCUCUCUUCCUUUGCAGCAGAUGCCCAUAGAAUAAAAGAAACACAUCAUUUGAUUUGGAGAUCUUAACGGUAUUGCUGAAUUAAGUAUUCAAUCAGUUUCCCAUCUCCCGGUAAGCCUGUCAAAUUGAUCCAAGUUCAGAAGUGUGCUGGAUACCUUUUCUGGAAAUAAUCUCUUAGGACACUGACAGGAUAUGCAUGGAUUGGGGACACACUUCAAGCUUUCCCCAGAGAAGAGCUUCUUUUGUGUGACUCAGUGCCUGCUUAGCUCCUCUUCCUGUUCAGUGUGCUUACGAGAUAGGAAAGUGACCCACCCUGGUCAAAAGAGCCAGCCCAGCAGAAUCAGCAAAGACACACAACGGAUGGCUCGUUAUCUGUUCCAGCACCAAACAAAGACAAGCCUUUUUAAGCAGCCAAAACUGAACAAAUGGCAUACUAGGCAGCCACUACCAAUUUUCAUGUGGAUGAGAUUCCUGAUGAAUCAGGGAAGGCAUCCAAGUGAUGUCCACAUCCCAGACCCUACAGAAAAGCAGCAUCUCUUGCCAAGAGGAGCCGCCGACCAGUCUGAGGAGACACCAUCCCAAUGAGACAUGCAGCCUAACCAUACAAGAUUGGGUUUCCUUUGAUGAGAAAAUGAGCAAGACGAGAAAAAGCAGGCAGUGGAACCUACAGCAUCAUCAUUAUCAUGCUCAUCAUUUAUUAUAGUGUGCCUAUAAAGAUGGCAAAGAGGGUGCCAAUCCAGUAUCAUGGGAAGCGAGUUCAACAUUCUAGGAGCAGCCACCAAGACGGUACCUCUUUCAAAAUUAUGGUUUUGACAAACUCCGGUUUAUGAAUCUCCUUUUUGCAAGGGUAGUUUUUACUUAUACCAGACUUCCCUAUCCUAAUGCUCCAAAAUGUAUGGACUACAACUUCUAGCUCACAUGUUACUAUAGUACAUAUAUGGGCACUGUAGAAGGACAUAUCUGAAUGGGGUUUGGGAAAGGCUAUCGUAUGCAUCCCAAUGGAAGUAUAGUUUCCGUCCUUUGGACAUGAAAAAUAAACUCUCCAACAUUACUCACUCACAUUAAAUAUUAAAUACUAGCCACAAAGACAAGGAGGAUGAAAUUACAGUAAUAAUAGUUCAGGCUAUUACACUGUCAACAAAACAUGUAUGUCUUUGGCUUUCUGCAUUUUUGGUAUGAAAAGAGUAUUAUCAACAAAUGAGCUAACAGAUAGUGCCCCUAAUUAUUUUAUGAGUUGGUAUAACAGAUAAAGACUUUCACAGAAAAGCCAUAAGGGAAAUUAGAAUUAUACAAUUUCCUUCACAUUGCACAACAGUUGUCAGACAGAUCUGUCCCUUUCAAAUUCCUUCUUUCUUAAAGAUUUACUUGAUAAAAAAAUGCCACAGGUCCAUAAGUUACAACCAUGUUGCAUCUUUCUCUCUUUAGAAUUUAUGAGAACAGAUGCUUGGGACUGUACGUCAUUCACAUGAUUUUUUUAGAACUCAGGUUUGUGUGCAGAAACGAUUCUAUUCAAGGUUUUAAUGAAGGGAAAACACCAAAGUUGUGCCAAUUGUAGCAGCAAGAGACUUGAUUUCAUAAGAAAUCUAGUCCAAAUCCUCACUACAAAAUAAGAAAAUAAGACAGUGUCUUAUAUUAAUUUUUGCUCCCAAAGAUGUGCUAGGUCUUACUUUCAGGGGAUGUCUUAUUUUUCCAGGAAGAAUUCACAUUUGUCGUUGAACAAAAAAAAUGAACAUUUAUUAUAUACUGUAUAGUAGUUGUCAUCACAAACCAUAUAACUAAACAAACUGUGAAUCCUAUCAAGAAUUUCUUGUUACUACCAUUAUUUCCAUGUACAACAAUUUAUGGUACAUAUAUUUACUGAUCCUGCAUGCUCUGGUAUUCUGUUCAGCGGGCAUCCUUCCAAACAAAAACUUUGCUAGUCUUACUUUCGGGGGAGGCCUUAUAUUUAGCAAUUCAGCAAAACCUCUACUAUGUCUUAUUUUCAGGGGAUGUCUUAUUUUCUGGGAAACAGGGUAAGUGAACCAGCUGAUAACCUGCUUAUAGGUUUACAAGGCUGAAAUCCACAAAAAAUUGGAAGCGAAGCCAUAUGAGAAGUGGUUUAGGGAGCUGGGAAUGUUUAGCCUGGAUAAUAGAAGGUUGGGGGGAGAUAUGAGAGCAUGUUUAAAUAUCUGAAAAGAUGUUACAUGGAGGUAGGAGCAAGCUUGUUUUCUGCUGCUCUGGAGAUUAGGAGACAGAAGAGCCAUGGAUUUAAUUGACAAAAAAGAGAGAUUCCUCUUAAACAUUAGGAAGAAAUUCAUGAUGGUAAUAGCUAGUUGACAAUGGAAUCUGCUGCUGCCCGGGAGUCCAAUGUCAUCUCCUUCUCUGUAAGUUUUUCAACAGAAGCUAGAUGGCCAUCUGUCAGGAGGGCUCUGAUUGUGUCUUCCUGCCUGGCAGAAUGGGGUUAGACUGGAUGGCCUUUGGGGAUCCCUUCUAACACUAGGAUUCUGUGAGUCUAUAAAAU